rnacentral:lncRNA from 1 species
AAGCAGGAUCUAACACAGGAACAGACAGAGAAGCUGCUGCAGUUUUAGGAUCUAACUGGCAUAGAAUCUAUGGAUCAGCAUCACCAGACCUUGGAACAGCAUAACUGGAACAUACAGGUUGCUGAACAGGACAGCUUGAAUGAGCGAGAUGGUGUAUGGAGUGUUUUCAACCCGCCUCCGUCCCCACCCCUGCAGGUUAAUACAGCUGACCACAGGAUCUACAGCUAUGUUGUCUCAAGACCACAACCGAGGGGUCUGCUUGGAUGGGGUUAUUACUUGAUAAUGCUUCCAUUCCAGUCUACCUAUUACACAAUACUUGAUAUAUUUAGGUUUGCCCUUUGUUUUAUAUGGCUUGACCUUCGCAGCCAGAUCACUGACCCUGUUGGGUACAUUGUUUCAUUUAUGCUAGCGUUUGAAUAGAAAUAUGGGAGGGCACACCUUGUCUUCUAGCCCAGAACACACAGCCAGGCACUUAAUGAUGCCAAGCUGGAGCUUCGCUCUUUGGUUUAUCUUCUUGGAGAUGAUCAACAGGUCUCUGAUAAGUUUUGUUGCAACACACUCUGUGAACCCAAAGUUAUUUCACUAAAAUUCUUUCUCUAGGAUGCUCUUCUGGGCAUGCUCUACAAACAAAUCUGAGGGAUACAGGAUCUUGCGGGCGUUAUGAGAGAACACCUAUCCAUUCCUGGCCAUGGUGAUGCUGAAGGAUCAGCGGAUGACUGUGGUGGGAUGGCUAGAAGGCCUCCUUCAACUGGAUGACCUCAUUAACCAACUGACAUCUAUCAUGGAUACAAACCAGACUUACCUGGUGUCAGAAUGCCUGGAAAGGGAAGAAAGAAACCAGACCCAGGUGUUGAGACAAAAGCAGGAUGAGGCCUACCUGGCUUCUCCCAGGGCUGACCAGGAGAAAGAAAUGAAGAAAUGGGAGGAGUGGGAGCUUAAGCAGCAGAAGGAGGAGGAGGUGCAAGAGCAAAAGCUGGCAGAGAAGAGAUGGUAGCAGAAUUUACAUGAGGAAAAGGAAAGGAAGUUGGAAUGCCUGCCCCUGAAAUUUCCCCGAUGACCCUGAAAAUGUCAAGAUUAUCUUCAAAUUACACAGUGAUUCUCAAGUAGAGAGAUGAUUCCACUUUUCAUAGUCUCUAACAAUAAUCCAUGACUUCUUAUUCUCCUUGAAAAAAAGCCCUGAAAAGCUUCCAAUUGAAGCCAAUUUUUCCAGGCAAGUGCUGCCCAAUUUCCCUAUGCUGCAGGAGGUUGGACUCAGCCAUACAGGAGUUCUGUUUGUUCAGGAUCUAAUAGACAAAUGA